CUAAUAGAAUGAAAUCUGGAAAGGGACAUCGAUCCUUUAUGAAUGCACCAUGUGGUGAUGUGUUGGUCCAUGAGGCGUCACCUGUGUUGACUUCUAAAGUUGGAAAGAUGCACCAUUUAUAGUCUGAAGGGCAGCUACAUUUCUCAGGCUGGCGAUUGACAGUUGGUGUGAGCACUAGUGCCUAUAAAUAGGGGUUGAUGGCUGGUUGAACUCCAUCUUCCAUCCUUCUUCCCAUAGUUUUUGUAAAAACCUUCCUUCCCCCUCACCACCAUGAUGCCUUCAAAGAAAGCC
rnacentral:lncRNA from 1 species